GCAGUGGUGGUUCAGUGGUAGAAUUCUCGCCUUCUAUGUGGGAGACCAGGGUUCAAUUCCCUGCCAAUGGA